ACUGCUCAGCCUCCAUGUGAUGCUGGAAGAUCAUGGGCAGGAGGGCUUUGUAGAAGGUGGAAAAGAGUUCUGUGUCCAAACAGACACGAUCGGAGCCAAUGGACAGCUAGAGUGGGGUGGCCGAGAUCCCCUCAGGUCCCCUGUGGUCAUUCUGUGACACCGUGUCAAGAUCUGGUUUCCAUGAUGACUCCGGUCUUGCUGGGGACCUCCGGGGUCUAGAAGGGCCAUGGACCAGGCCACUUGAUGGGGUGACCGGCCUGCAGAGCUGAGUCCACGGCCUGGAGAUAGGGCCCAGCACUAGGCAUUUGAGGAAUGAGACUCGCAGGCCCUGGGGAUUCUGCCUGCAGUGACAGCGCUAACAUUAGCCAGAGCCCUCGACGCCUGGAGAAAUGGCAUUGCCCACCCUGAGAGAGAGAGUCGGUAGAUGUGAGGACUGCCACAUAAACAUCAUAAAACCCUCGGGAAGCUGUUGCUCAUAGCCGGCCGGCCGGGUUCCCUUUCCACAGAGCCCAGAGCCGCCCUGCCUCGGGACUCACCCAGCUCCAAAGAAAAAUAACCCAGAGAAAUUAGUCCUCGGCUGGAAAUGAAGCAGGGAUCAAAUGAUUGCUGAUGGGAGCAAAUAUUUAAAUCGCAUGAGUCAAAUGGGACAUUAUUAAAUAAAGGGUGUUUAGAAUGUCUCAAGCAGCAAGCUCACUGGAAGAAUAUUUUAAACCUGAUAUUAAGGAUCUGGCCGCCUGCGUGUCUCAAGCUUUGUCCGGGUGCAGGGAAAUUUGCUCUUGACCGUGGUCAAAAGUACACCCUGCUCCCCCUCAGGAGCAUUUUCCUCUGUGUCUGAAACAAAGACAGAAAGGAUUCUAGGUAGCUACUGAAACUGCUAA